UUAUAAAGUCAACAGUCACAGACUGGCCUUGCAUCACUGGACCCAAACCUUUGACCUAACUUUCCCGUCUAAGGGCCAGCCCCCCUCUGACAUCUAGCCCGGCAUUCCAUCCUCCAGCUGAACAUCUUGAGCUGGACUGUCUCCAUUUGGACAAGGAAAACUGCCUCUCUUCACUCGCACAUGGAAAGGAGGGCUCAGUCAGUGUUAGCUGAGGACCAGAGAAGCAUGUACUUCCAGCAUCAACACGGUGGUAACCGGUUUGCGAGAACUAUCGGUUCUGAUAGCUCAGGAGGUGUGUGUGUAUGGGGGGAGGAACUCGUGGGGAAUAUGAAGUGUAAACACAAAUCAGCUGGAGCAAGGAAACACACCUCAUAUUUUACAUCAGCUGUCCAGUGACUAACCACGGACGUGUUUUCUCAAACUGCUGAACUAGUCAGUUUUCCCUUGCCGAUGGUUUCAAA
rnacentral:lncRNA from 1 species